CCUACGGGAGGCAGCAGUGAGGAAUAUUGGUCAAUGGGCUUACGCCUGAACCAGCCAAGUCGCGUGAGGGAAGACUGCCCUAUGGGUUGUAAACCUCUUUUGUCAGGGAGCAACGCCGGCUACGUGUCGCCGGACUGAGAGUACCUGAAGAAAAAGCAACGGCUAACUCCGUGACAGCAGCAGCGGUAAUACGGAGGAUGCGAGCGUUAUCCGGAUUUAUUGGGUUUAAAGGGUGCGUAGGCGGAAUGCCAAGUCAGCGGUAAAAUCGCGGGGCUCAACCUCGCUCCGCCGUUGAAACUGGCGUUCUUGAGUGGGCGAGAAGUAUGCGGAAUGCGUGGUGUAGCGGUGAAAUGCAUAGAUAUCACGCAGAACUCCGAUUGCGAAGGCAGCAUACCGGCGCCCAACUGACGCUGAGGCACGAAAGCGUGGGUAUCGAACAGGAUUAGAUACCCUUGUAGUC
rnacentral:rRNA from 1 species